UACGGAGGGAGCUAGCGUUGUUCGGAAUUACUGGGCGUAAAGCGCACGUAGGCGGCUUUGUAAGUUAGAGGUGAAAGCCCGGAGCUCAACUCCGGAAUUGCCUUUAAGACUGCAUCGCUUGAAUCCAGGAGAGGUGAGUGGAAUUCCGAGCGUAGAGGUGAAAUUCGUAGAUAUUCGCAAGAACACCAGUGGCGAAGGCGGCUUACUGGUCCGGUUCUGACGCUGAGGCGCGAAAGCGUGGGGAGCAAACAGG
rnacentral:rRNA from 1 species